UACGUAGGGUGCGAGCGUUAAUCGGAAUUACUGGGCGUAAAGGGCGCGUAGGCGGCGUGGUAAGUCACUUGUGAAAUCUCCGAGCUUAACUCGGAACGGUCAAGUGAUACUGCUGUGCUAGAGUGCAGAAGGGGCAAUCGGAAUUCUUGGUGUAGCGGUGAAAUGCGUAGAUAUCAAGAGGAACACCUGAGGUGAAGACGGGUUGCUGGGCUGACACUGACGCUGAGGCGCGAAAGCUAGGGUAGCAAACGGG
rnacentral:rRNA from 1 species